rnacentral:lncRNA from 1 species
GAUAAAUCAGAUCCUGGCCUUAAAGCAGCAGUGAUAGCUAGAAGUGCAGGAGUUGGUGAAAACUACAAGAAACUCUGCACUUGUGACGGUACAACUAUUUGGGAAGCAACCAACAAACUUUGAACACCUACACUAUCGUAGACCUAAACUACAAGAAACUAUGCACUUGUGAUGGUACAAUUAUUUGGGAAGCAACCAAUAAACUUUGAACACUUACACUAUCAUGUACUCUAUAUUUUCUUUGUAUACAUCAUCUCCUUCAUUUCCUAGAUCAUGAAGCUUUCAAGGUGGACGGACCAAUUUAAUGUAUCAAAAUAAAUGUCAUCCUCACUUAUUUCUUGGUUUCCUAUUUAAAGAGCUGCUCAUCUUCAUAUCCCAAUAAGGAUUGCCGAUGAAUUAAAUUUUAACAAAGCAUCUAGCUAUCAGUAGUUCAAAAUUUUGGGAUGGCAGAGUCAUUUUCC